AUUGAACGCUGGCGGCAGGCUUAACACAUGCAAGUCGAGCGGAGAUGAGGUGCUUGCACCUUAUCUUAGCGGCGGACGGGUGAGUAAUGCCUAGGAAUCUGCCUAUUAGUGGGGGACAACAUUCCGAAAGGAAUGCUAAUACCGCAUACGUCCUACGGGAGAAAGCAGGGGAUCUUCGGACCUUGCGCUAAUAGAUGAGCCUAAGUCGGAUUAGCUAGUUGGUGGGGUAAAGGCCUACCAAGGCGACGACCUGUAGCGGGUCUGAGAGGAUGAUUCGCCACACUGGGACUGAGACACGGCCCAGACUCCUACGGGAGACAGCAGUGGGGAAAAUUGGACAAUGGGGGAAACCCUGAUCCAGCCAUGCCGCGUGUGUGAAGAAGGCCUUAUGGUUGUAAAGCACUUUAAGCGAGGAGGAGGCUACUGAGACUAAUACUCUUGGAUAGUGGACGUUACUCGCAGAAUAAGCACCGGCUAACUCUGUGCCAGCAGCCGCAGUAA
rnacentral:rRNA from 1 species